ACUCCUGUAGCUUAGAGGCUAAGCACCCGGCUCAUAACCGGGCAUUUUACCCUGGUUCGAAUCCAGGCGGGAGUA
rnacentral:tRNA from 1 species